CAGUCGCGGUGAUUUUGAUCCGAGGUUGUUUAUUUUGAUUACAAUAACCAGUUUAUAUGGAUUUUAAAAUGCCUAAUAAUAGAAGAGAACGCUGAAUUAAUUGGAAGAAAGGAGAAAAGAAAGCAAAUAAAUAUAGUUUUAGUUUCAGGGAAGGCUUCCCUGAUAUGCAGAUAUGCAUAGUUUUCAAGCUCUGGAAAAUGAGCACCUUCAAAAAGAACACUAAUAUAAUAUAAAUUUAAAAUUACAGACAGACAUUCAAGUGAAGACUUUAGUAAUCACUAAAAAAUCAAUAGAAUAAUGUAAAAAAAUGUUUUAAAAUUCAAUAGAA